ACUCCUACGGGAGGCAGCAGUGAGGAAUAUUGGACAAUGGAUGGAAAUCUGAUCCAGCCAUGCCGCGUGCGGGAAGAAGGUCCUAUGGAUUGUAAACCGCUUUUGUAUGGGAACAAUAAUAGCUACGUGUAGCUAGAUGAGUGUACCAUACGAAUAAGCAUCGGCUAACUCCGUGCCAGCAGCCGCGGUAAU
rnacentral:rRNA from 1 species